rnacentral:rRNA from 1 species
AUUGAACGCUGGCGGCAGGCCUAACACAUGCAAGUCGAACGGUAACAGGAAGAAGCUUGCUUCUUUGCUGACGAGUGGCGGACGGGUGAGUAAUGUCUGGGAAACUGCCUGAUGGAGGGGGAUAACUACUGGAAACGGUAGCUAAUACCGCAUAACGUCGCAAGACCAAAGAGGGGGACCUUCGGGCCUCUUGCCAUCGGGUGUGCCCAGAUGGGAUUAGCUAGUAGGUGGGGUAACGGCUCACCUAGGCGACGAUCCCUAGCUGGUCUGAGAGGAUGACCAGCCACACUGGAACUGAGACACGGUCCAGACUCCUACGGGAGGCAGCAGUGGGGAAUAUUGCACAAUGGGCGCAAGCCUGAUGCAGCCAUGCCGCGUGUAUGAAGAAGGCCUUCGGGUUGUAAAGUACUUUCAGCGGGGAGGAAGGGAGUAAAGUUAAUACCUUUGCUCAUUGACGUUACCCGCAGAAGAAGCACCGGCUAACUCCGUG